CUAAAGUGGAUUAAAAAGCGGGACUCUUUUCAGAAGCACUCUCACUUUAGCUUGCUUUGCCUCCAUAGCUUUUCCUUCAUAGCCACAGAAAGUUGUGCACGAGACUAAGAGAAGUUAU
rnacentral:lncRNA from 1 species